UUAACAAAUUACUGGAAAUAUUAAAUAUAAAUGAAAUGAAAUAUUGACAGUUAUACCAAUCGUAUAACUAAAAAUAAUAAGAAAGAAUAAAAUAUGACUUGUCAGCACGGCUAACCCGACAUCAAUCGAAAUAUUGCAUGAAGACCAUCAUAAUAUAAACCACAGUGUGACGAUAGUUUGUUGAAGGUAACACACAUAUUGAAAAUAGGGUUUUGAAAAUGGAUUUUGGAUCUGGGUAACUGAGAAGAAACGGACCAUCGACUCCGUAAUGAACUAACUUGUAGAGAAAUAAUACUGAUUGUAAGUCUCUGCGUAAGCUCAGAAGCAGUAGAGUGGACCUUCUUAGUAGAGGAUCAUCAUCAACUCCCCUCUCAGGAUAGAAACCCUCCUCCCUGAACAUUAGAUAUUUCAGUAAUUUUCUCUGCACACUGUCAAUGGACUGACCGUGGCAGUUAUAUAUUGGUGACCAUACCAACCUUUGACCUAACGUAACAGUUAAAUAACAAUUUAAUAGUAGGUGAACUACAAAAACGGGUGCAAUUUCUUAUUACGAAUCCUAAAAUUUGCAUUGCACUAUAAACCACUUUAGUAAUGUAAGGUACAAAAGAGAACGUCUGGUCAAAUAAAAUCCCCAUAUCCUUUACAGUGGCAAGUAUAGUCAGGAUGGUAACAUCCAUACUGUAAUUAAAGACUAUGGCAGUUUUUUGCGGUGGUAAGAAACCAUCUUACACUUGCUGUUGUUAAGAUGCAAUUUAUUUUUAGUAUACCACUGACUGACAAUAUUGAUGUUGGCCUGGAAACUCAUGCAGUUUAAAUGCAGUGAUAUAGUUUUAGGUCGUCCUGCAUAGGUCGCAAAUGAUCAAAGGUAUGAGAUCGUCUAUCAAUAUAUUGAACAGAAGUGGUCCAAGGUUAGAACUUUGAGGCACACCAGAAGUUGGAAGAAAAGGAACGGAUCUAAAGCCCUCAGUCUCAACGAACUGUCGACGGUUCACCAGAUAGGACUUCAAUACUGAAAUCAGCGAAUUUGAGAAACCAAAUCAGUAAGUGAUGAUCUAUCUGGUCAAACGCUUCGUGGAAAUCAGUGUAUAUAACGUCAACUUGAUCUUGCUUGUUCGGGGAGUCACAGACAUAAGAAGAUAGGGAACAUAAAUUGGUGAUACAUGAAGCCAUAUUGCGUAGAGAGUUUAUUUCGUAUCUUUCUACUGGGAUGUCAUUUAGAUCGUUAAGCUUUUCAUACAGAGAUUCACAUACUGCAAUACGACAGAUAGCUUAUGAAACAUGUCUUGCAAUAUGGAAUACUUUUCAAGGGAAACAUAUGGCGAUGCCUACAUCCGAUUUGUUACAAAACAAUGCAAAAGACUACUUCAAACAAUUGAAUUUUUGUAAUUGUGUUGGCAGCAUUGACGGCAAACAUGUUAGAAUAAAAUGUCCACAGAAC